ensembl:lncRNA
CAGGAAUACAACCUGCAUGGGAAUGCCAACCCAUUGCAGGAUACACACACACACACACACACACACACACACACACACACACACACACACACACACACACAAUUAGGGGCAAUCUAGCACAGUCAGUCCACCUACCGGGAUGUGUGAGGGACAUUGGUGGUGACCAGAGAGCACAGAGGAAAGCCACAUGGACAUGGACACAGACAGAAACCCAAGCCAAAUGCUGCUUUCAAAUUACCUUAGAAGUGGGAAGUCAGAACUUACGGAGGACCAAGUUACGAGUUUAUUCGAAUGCAGCAUAAGAUUGAACUGGGAACCCUGGAGCUGUGAGGUGGCAAGGCUACCUGCUGUGCCACCAUUCUGCCCUGGGUUCAUUCAGUCAUUCAGUUAUUCAUUCACUCAAAUCAAGACCAUCAAGACUUAUGACAAAAACGUUAUGGUGGAUGCCUGAUGAGCUCAACAUAAAAAAAGCUCUCUCUGUGGGGUCUUUAUACAAUGAGCUGUUCAGUAGUAAACAUGCUUUCUUUCCCCUCUCUGUGUUUCCAUCACAGUGCAGGACAAAAGAGUUUUGUGCUUUUCCGUGACAAAGCUCACUUUGAUGUGCUCUGUGAGCGCUUUUCCAAUACGUGCUUGUGGCUGUAUAAUUGAGAGUGGAGCUGGAUGAAAUUCAAAGCUGCUGGGAAGACAUUCAAGAAUUGUACAACUUAAUUAAAAGGCAUGCUUGCACCCUAUUUGUCCUUGUCCUUGCUGAGGAUGGUCACAGUAACAAGUUUGCUAAAUGAAC